UACGGGGGGGGCAAGCGUUGUUCGGAAUUACUGGGCGUAAAGGGCUCGUAGGUGGCCAACUAAGUCAGACGUGAAAUCCCUCGGCUUAACCGGGGAACUGCGUCUGAUACUGGAUGGCUUGAGUUUGGGAGAGGGAUGCGGAAUUCCAGGUGUAGCGGUGAAAUGCGUAGAUAUCUGGAGGAACACCGGUGGCGAAGGCGGCCCACUGGAUCGGUACUGACGCUGAGGUGCGAAAGCGUGGGGAGCAAACAGG
rnacentral:rRNA from 1 species